rnacentral:rRNA from 1 species
GGGCCCGCACAAGCGGUGGAGCAUGUGGUUUAAUUCGAUGCAACGCGAAGAACCUUACCAGGACUUGACAUACUACAAAUUCUUUUGAGAAAAAGAAGUGCCUUCGGGAAUGUAGAUACAGGUGGUGCAUGGCUGUCGUCAGCUCGUGUCGUGAGAUGUUGGGUUAAGUCCCGCAACGAGCGCAACCCUUAUUUUUAGUUACCAAUUCGUUGGGUUCUCUAGAAAGACUGCCGGUGACAAACCGGAGGAAGGUGAGGAUGACGUCAAGUCAGCAUGCCCCUUAUGUCCUGGGCUACACACGUGCUACAAUGGUUAAGACAAAGAGUCGCGAGCUCGUGAGAGUCAGCUAAUCUCAUAAACUUAGCCCAAGUUCAGAUUGUAGGCUGCAACUCGCCUACAUGAAGUUGGAAUCGCUAGUAAUCG